CCUACGGGAGGCAGCAGUGAGGAAUAUUGGUCAAUGGACGAGAGUCUGAACCAGCCAAGUAGCGUGAAGGAUGACUGCCCUAUGGGUUGUAAACUUCUUUUAUAAAGGAAUAAAACGAGGCACGUGUGCCUUUUUGCAUGUACUUUAUGAAUAAGGAUCGGCUAACUCCGUGCCAGCAGCCGCGGUAAUACGGAGGAUCCGAGCGUUAUCCGGAUUUAUUGGGUUUAAAGGGAGCGUAGAUGGGUUGUUAAGUCAGUUGUGAAAGUUUGCGGCUCAACCGUAAAAUGGCAAUUGAUACUGGCAGUCGUGAGUACAGUUGAGGUAAGCGGAAUUCGUGGUGUAGCGGUGAAAUGCUUAGAUAUCACGAAGAACCCCGAUUGCGAAGGCAGCUUACUAAACUGUGACUGACAUUGAUGCUCGAAAGUGUGGGUAUCAAACAGGAUUAGAUACCCUAGUAGUC
rnacentral:rRNA from 1 species